CCUACGGGUGGCAGCAGUGGGGAAUAUUGCACAAUGGGCGCAACCCUGAUGCAGCGAUGCCGCGUGAGUGAAGAAGUCCUUCGGUAUGUAAAGCACUGUCAGCGGGGAAGAAAAUGAUGGUACUUGUCCAAGCAGCCCUGGCUAACAACGUGCCAGCAGCCGCGGUAAUACGUAGGGGGAAAGCGUUAUGCGGAUUUACUGGGUGUAAAGUGAGCGUAGACGGCAGGGCAAGUCAGGAGUGAAAGGCGGGGGCUCAACCCGCGAACUGCUCCUGAUACUGGCAGGCUGGAGUGCAGGAGAGGGGAGUAGAAUUCCAGGUGUAGCGGUGAAAUGCGUAGAGAUUAGGAGGAAUACCAGUGGCGAAGGCGGCUUACUGGAC
rnacentral:rRNA from 1 species